CAAUAGCGUAUAUUAAAGUUGUUGCAGUUAAAAAGCUCGUAGUUGAAUUUUUGCUUGCCGCCGAUGUCGGAACUUCCGUACGUUCGGCGGCGUGCAUCCUUGGGUGGAACCUGUGUGGCAUUAGGUUGUCGUGCAGGGGAUGCUCAUCGUUUACUGUGAAAAAAUUAGAGUGUUCAAAGCAGGCUUACGCCGUUGAAUAUAUUAGCAUGGAAUAAUAAGAUAGGACCUUGGUACUAUUUUGUUGGUUUGCGCACCGAGGUAAUGAUUAACAGGGACAGUUGGGGGUAUUCGUAUUCCAUUGUCAGAGGUGAAAUUCUUGGAUUUCUGGAGGACGAACUACUGCGAAAGCAUUUACCAAGGAUGUUUUCAUUAA
rnacentral:rRNA from 1 species